GAAGCUAUUGGGCCCAUAACCCAAAAAUGAUACAUAGUCUCUUAAAACCUCCUCAUUUUAUUCUAGUGAAGAUAUUAAAAUGAAAUAGCAAUUUGACAUGGAAUUUAUUGAGAAUCCAGCAAAAAACGUUAACUAAAUCUAGUAAUAGAAUUUUAGUGCAAUUUCAACGUAUUGUAACAAAUAAGGUGCCAGCAGUUGCGGUCAUACCUUAAACAAAUUUAAUAUCGUUAGAGUGGGACACAAAUGUAGGACUUUAAAAAAUUAAAAAGAUAGUAAAAUGUGUUUUAAUUAGUAUUAACUAACAAUGUCUGAAUUUGUUAAUCUAAAAUACCCGAAACUUUAUAAAAUUUAGUAAACUAGGAUUAGAUACCCUACUAUAAAAAGCAAAAAUUAAAACUCUAAGCACUAAAACCGAAUUAUGGUUAAAACUUAAAGAUUAUGGCGGCAGUCUAAAUUAUUCAGGGGAACUUACCAGAUAAUAGAUAACCCCCAAGCAAUUCUACUUAACUUAAUAGUUUAUAUAUUGCCGUUUAGGACUUACUUAAAGUAUGCCCAAUCAUUUGUUAAACAAAUUUAAUACAGGUCAUAGUGUAGCAAAUAGUUAAGCCGUUGAGGUGAGUUACAAUAUUAUUUUUUUUCAGGUGUGAUCUUAAAGAGAUCACAAAUAGUUGGACUUGAAAGUAAAGAUACUUUAUACUAUAAUGAUUAAAUCUUGAAUACUAUAUUAGAUUGUGCACAAAUCGCCCGUCACUCUCGUAAUUUACAACAAAACAAACGAGAUAAGUCGUAACACAGUAGGUGUAAAUGAAUUUGUACCUAAAAAAAG
rnacentral:rRNA from 1 species